GACGGAGGGUGCUAGCGUUGUUCGGAUUUACUGGGCGUAAAGGGCGCGUAGGCGGCCCUGUCAGUCGGGUGUGAAAGCCCGGGGCUCAACCCCGGAACGGCACCCGAGACGGCAGGGCUGGAGACCGGGAGAGGAGGGUGGAAUAGCCAGUGUAGAGGUGAAAUUCGUAGAUAUUCGGAAGAACACCAGUGGCGAAGGCGGCUCACUGGCCCGGUACUGACGCUGAUGUGCGAAAGCGUGGGGAGCGAACAGG
rnacentral:rRNA from 1 species